CAAUACGUUGGUGGCGACCGGCGCACGGGUGAAGUAACGCGUAUGCAACCUACCUAUACGAGGAAGGGGAAGUAACCCGGCGAAAGUCGGACUAAUACCGCAUAAAACAGGGGCACCGCAUGGUGAUAUUUGUUAAAGAAAUUCGCUGAUAGAUGGGCAUGCGUUCCAUUAGGUAGUUGGUGAGGUAACGGCUCACCAAGCCGACGAUGGAUAGGGGACUGAGAGGUUGGUCCCCCACACUGGUACUGAGACACGGACCAGACUCCUACGGGAGGCAGCAGUGAGGAAUAUUGGUCAAUGGGCGGGAGCCUGAACCAGCCAAGUCGCGUGAAGGAAGAAGGAUCUAUGGUUCGUAAACUUCUUUUGCAGGGGAAUAAAGUGCAGGACGUGUCCUGUUUUGUAUGUACCCUGAGAAUAAGGAUCGGCUAACUCCGUGCCAGCAGCCGC
rnacentral:rRNA from 1 species